UACAGAGGUCCCGAGCGUUGUUCGGAUUCACUGGGCGUAAAGGGUGCGUAGGUGGUGGGGUAAGUCUCGUGUGAAAGCUCGCAGCUUAACUGCGAAAAGUCACGGGAUACUAUUCCGCUGGAGGCUUGGAGGGGGACUGGAAUACUUGGUGUAGCAGUGAAUGCGUAGAUAUCUGGAGGACACCGGUGGCGAAGGCGGCGUUCUGGACUGCAACUGACACUGAGGGCGAAGCGAGGAGCGUACGGAGGAACUGAUG
rnacentral:rRNA from 1 species